AAUGACGGUUGCUUGAAAAAAAUGUACGAACUAGCGUGAAAACUCGUCGCUGGAACCAAGCACUGUCUGUCUGGAAACUACCCAAGAAAGCGGAUUAACCUUGCAGCGUCUGGGUGUGUGCACUGCCUCCAAGAUGCUGCUCAUAUUUGAUCACCACUUUGGACUCUAUUGUCUCUGGAAGUACAAGUCACCAGUGAAUAUGUCACCACAGAGGCACAAUCCUCGCAAGGAAGAAGGACAAAAGAGAGGUUAUUGGUUUGCAAGCUGCCCACGCCAAGCCAUAAGAAGCUCAACGGACACCAUAAUAACAACAGGUUCGCGCCGCCAUAGUGGUCACCGCCCUCACAAAUAUGUUUGAUUUUUCAAACAUUGGCUACAGGCUUAGGCUCCCCUUGCUCAAGUGAUGGCUCCCCUUACAAAAGUGACGUGUUCAUCUCCUUGUAACCUUCUUGCAUUGUUUGAACGCGCAA